AUUCUGGCUCAGGACGAACGGCUGGCGGCGUGCCUAACAACAUGCAAAGCUGUUGAACGGGCCCUCGGGGCAGUGGCGAACGGGUGAGUAACACGUGGGCAAUCUGCCCUGCAUCUGGGAUAAGCCCCGGGGAAAUGGGUUAAUACCGGAUUGACCUCAUUCAGCAUGGCGGAGGUGGAAAGUUUUUUCGGUGCAGGAUGAGCCCGCGGCCUAUCAGCUAGUUGGUGGGGUAACGGCCCACCAAGGCGACGACGGGUAGCCGGCCUGAGAGGGUGAUCGGCCACAAUGGAUGGGACACGGCCCAGACUCCCUACGGGAGGCAGCAGUGGGGAAUAUUGCACAAUGGGCGAAAGCCUGAUGCAGCGACGCCGCGUGCGGGAUGACGGCUUCGGGUUGUAAAACACGCUUUCAGCAGGGACGAAGCGGCAAGUACGGUACUGCAGAAGAAGCACCGGCUAACUACGUGCCAGCAGCCGCGGAUACGUUAGGGUGCGAGCGUUGUUCGGAUUACUGGGCGUAAAGAGCUCGAGGCGGACGGUUGCGUCGCCUGUGAAAUCCGUGGUCAACCACGGGUCUGCAGGCGAUACGGACAGACUAGAGGACUGCAGGGGAGACUGGAAUUCCUGGUGUAGCGGUGGACAUGUCCGCAGUAUUCAGGAGGAACACCGGUGGCGAAGGCGGGUCUCUGGGCAGUAACUGACGCUGAGGAGCGAAAAAGAGUGGGGAGCGACAGGAUUAGAUACCUGGUAGUCCACGCUGUACACGGUGGGCGCUAGGUGUGGGUUUCCUUCCAUCCGAAAGUACCGUGCCGUAGCUAACGCAUUAAGCGCCCCGCCUGGGGAGUACGGCCGCAAGGCUAAAACUCAAAGAAAUUGACGGGGGGCCCGCACAAGCGGCGGAGCAUGGGAUUAAUUGAUGAAACCGCGCAGAAAGAAUCCUUACAUGGUUUGACACUGGCAGAAAGCCGUAGAGAUACGGGGGGGGGCCCCCCCCCCCAACCCCCCUGUGGUUCGGUUCACAGGUGGUGCAUGGCUGUCGUCAGCUCGUGUCGUGAGAUGUUGGUUAAGUCCCGCAACGAGCGCAACCCUUGUUCCUGUGUUGCCAGCGCGUAAUGGCGGGGACUCUCAGGAGACUGCCGGGGUCAACUCGGAGGAAGGUGGGGACGACGUCAAGUAUCAUGCCCCUUAUGUCCAGGGCUUCACACAUGCUACAAUGGCGCGUACAGAGGGCAGCGAUAUCGCAAGGUGGCUCGAAUCCCUUAAAGCGCGUCGCAGUUCGGAUUGGGGUCUGCACUCGCCCCCAUGAAGUCGGAGUCGCUAGUAAUCGCAGAUCAGCAACGCUGCGGUGAAUACGUUCCCGUGCCUUGUACAACACCGCCCGUCAAGUCACGAAAGUCGGUAACACCCCGAGCCGGUGGCCUUAAAAAAAACCUUAUUGGAGGAGCGUCGAAGGUGGGACUGGCGAUUGGGACUAAGUCGAAACAAGGUAGCCGUACCGGAAGGUGCGGCUG
rnacentral:rRNA from 1 species